UACGUAGGGUGCAAGCGUUAAUCGGAAUUACUGGGCGUAAAGCGUGCGCAGGCGGUCUUGUAAGACAGAUGUGAAAUCCCCGGGCUCAACCUGGGAACUGCCUUUGUGACUGCAAGGCUGGAGUGCGGCAGAGGGGGAUGGAAUUCCGCGUGUAGCAGUGAAAUGCGUAGAUAUGCGGAGGAACACCGAUGGCGAAGGCAAUCCCCUGGGCCUGCACUGACGCUCAUGCACGAAAGCGUGGGGAGCAAACAGG
rnacentral:rRNA from 1 species